CUGAACCACAGGGGAGGAUGAGCACAUGACUGUGAACGAUGAGAAAAAAGGUGGCAAAGGAGUGAUUAUGUGUCUUCUCAAGGAUGUUGACAUUUGGAACCUGAUUUCCCCCUUCCACACAUUUCUUCCCCAGGAGCAUGCAUUUCCCAAGCAAUUUCCCAAAAUAUUGCUUAUUAACCGUGGGGCACCUUUGAACGGAACCCAAGAACUUCAUGUCUAAUACCUGUGCUUGCUACAGGAAAUUUUUAAAAAAAGCAAUUCUCCACAGAAGUGAGAAUGGACCACAAACGAAUCACACUUACCAGAGAGACUGAAUAGAUUGAUAGAAUCUGACAUUCAGGUAGGUGUUCUUACUAUUUUGCUUUUUUUCCUGAUUAUAAGCUGCCAUUGAUUUAAAUGGAUACAUUUAAUUGUUGCUAAAAUGUAGCCAUC
rnacentral:lncRNA from 1 species